rnacentral:rRNA from 1 species
CCUACGGGAGGCUGCAGUGGGGAAUAUUGGACAAUGGGGGGAACCCUGAUCCAGCCAUGCCGCGUGUGUGAAGAAGGCCCUCGGGUUGUAAAGCACUUUCAGUGAGGAAGAACGCCUGGUGGUUAAUACCCAUCAGGAAAGACAUCACUCACAGAAGAAGCACCGGCUAACUCCGUGCCAGCAGCCGCGGUAAUACGGAGGGUGCGAGCGUUAUUCGGAAUUACUGGGCGUAAAGCGCGCGUAGGUGGCUUGAUAAGCCGGUUGUGAAAGCCCCGGGCUCAACCUGGGAACGGCAUCCGGAACUGUCAAGCUAGAGUGCAGGAGAGGAAGGUAGAAUUCCCGGUGUAGCGGUGAAAUGCGUAGAGAUCGGGAGGAAUACCAGUGGCGAAGGCGGCCUUCUGGACUGACACUGACACUGAGGUGCGAAAGCGUGGGUAGCAAACAGGAUUAGAUACCCUGGUAGUC